GAUGAAGAACGUAGCGAAAUGCGAUAAGUAAUGUGAAUUGCAGAAUUCAGUGAAUCAUCGAAUCUUUGAACGCACAUUGCGCCCCCUGGUAUUCCGGGGGGCAUGCCUGUUCGAGCGUCAUUUCACCACUCAAGCCUCGCUUGGUAUUGGGCAACGCGGUCCGCCGCGUGCCUCAAAUCGACCGGCCGGGUCUUCUGUCCCCUAAGCGUUGUGGAAACUAUUCGCUAAAGGGUGUUCGGGAGGCUACGCCGUAAAACAACCCCAUUUCUAAGGUUGACCUCGGAUCAGGUAGGGAUACCCGCUGAACUUAAGCAUAUCAAUAAGCGGAGGA
rnacentral:misc_RNA from 1 species